rnacentral:rRNA from 1 species
UACGUAGGGCGCAAGCGUUGUCCGGAAUUAUUGGGCGUAAAGAGCUCGUAGGCGGCCUGUUGCGUCCGCUGUGAAAUCCCGGGGCUUAACCCCGGGCCUGCAGUGGAUACGGGCAGGCUGGAGGCAGGCAGGGGAGAACGGAAUUCCCGGCGUAGCGGUGAAAUGCGCAGAUAUCGGGAGGAACACCGGUGGCGAAGGCGGUUCUCUGGGCCUGUACUGACGCUGAGGAGCGAAAGCGUGGGGAGCGAACAGG